CUAUUACUCCCUCCGUUCGGAAUUACCUGUCUCGAAAAUGGAUGUAUCUAGAACUAAAAUACGUCUAGAUACAUCCAUUUCUUCGACAAGUAAUUCCGAACGGAGGGAGUACAUU
rfam:Triticum urartu cultivar G1812 contig355601, whole genome shotgun sequence.